CUUUCCCUUUUCCCUUCCCUUUUCUCUUUUUUUUAUUUUCCCUUUUUUUUUUUUUUUUUAACUGGGGCAGAGAAGUGAUUACCAUAUUUUCUUUUUUAUUCCGGCAUCUACAAGUGAGAAGAACAUAAGUGUCUGCUAAACACUGAUACUAUUUGAUAGUAGCAAUUCAUACUCUGAUUUUGUCCUUUUAGGACUGCUAAUAUUUUUCUUCUGACAGAUUUGGAAAAUAAAUCAGUAGCUGCAGCAACAGGGCCAGCAAAAAAAGAAUAUAACUUAUUCAAGUGAAUUAAAAUUCAGAAAAGUGAUGCUGAUAACAAACAAGCUUACAUAUAUGGCAUAAAAGUGGCCAUAUAAAUUUUCUUCAGCUGGACACCAUCACUUCAACGGCAGUCCUGGCCUGGACUUUAACCUCAGUUUGGUUUUGGCUCGAGUGCUGGAGAUAACCUAGAGCAACUCCAAUGCUCCAGAACGCAACUGUUGCCUGAGGCUCCCUGUGGACCACCAUGCAGCUCUUGCUGCCACUGUGCCUUUCCACUGUGGGAAACCUCUGCAAGGGUGAUCAAAAGAGAUUACAGUCUCACCACCUGGGAGACCCACUCACCCAUUCUUGAAAAACUGUAUGGUAAUUAUUAAUCAAUGAUAAUUUGGAAACAGGCUAAAAUUAGGCCAUGAACAACAGAAAAGAGGCUGGAGCAGUAUUUCAUGGAUGGCAUUUCUUUUUUUGAGUAACUUUCGCACAUGUUCCGUCUUGAGUCUGAGGAUGGAUAUAAUUACCUGUAAUGGGCUCUUAAAAAUGUCUUUUGCAGGAGUGGACAUCUGAGGUCAGAGAGGAGAGUACUUCACAUUUUGGCUUCACCACAGACAGCAAGUACUCCUUCUGCACAAAAUUACUACAGAACUAUUUCUGAUCUAGAGGGAAAUAGCCAUAAAUGUUAAUUACAGCUCUUACUCUUCACAUGUAGUGAAGUGGCAGGAAAAAUAAAGUCUGUCCUCUUAACUAUGGAAGAUGAGAUGAGGUAUAAUGACAGACAAUGAAGGAUAAUUACAUGGAAAGCAAAGUUCAAACAUCGCUCUCGGUAAUCAAGCAAUAGUGGAUAUCUAGCAUGAAUGCUGUGAAACCUUAACAUCUCAGGGUCAUCUCCUGUAUCAUCCUCAGGGCUUGCAUUUUACAUCCCAUCAAGCAGAAGCCUCAGCUCUGAUAUUUUUUUGAGACAUAUGAGACCACAGGAGCUCCCUAGGCCUGGCCAGUUGGUGUCCAGCGGUUCACUCUACUGUGAAAAGACCCCUCUUGCUCUGCCUUCUCAGCUGGUAUUCAGAUGCUGCCCAGCAGCAUUGAGGUUAAUGGGUCAGACCAUGAAAAGGGAGGAUUUGCUUUACAAACAUGCCAUCAGCCUGCAGGCUGGAAAACCACAAAGAGUUACAGGUGAUGCCAGUAUUGGAAAGCUGGACAGCUCAGGAGAACUCCAUGAACAGGGGACAGAGUAGGACAGUAAUUAUUGCUGGUUCAUUUAGAGUGAAAGUUAUCUUUGUGUAUAAUGUCUGUUCACUAUCUGAGUUUUCAAAAGACUUGUGAUGGUUGGCAUGGUGUCUUGCUGGAAGCAGGCCCUCUGCAUGUCAAUGAACUUCACUUAUUUGAGGGAAACCUCUGCCUUAUGGAAAAAUAUUUUUGUCCAAUUUUUUGACUUGAAGAUACCCAUCCAAAGUAGGUUAAUUGAUUGCUUUGCUGACAAGUGGGGAGAUGGGGAGUGGGGAUAAAGAAAUAAUAAUAAUAAUAAAAAAGUAAGUUUGAGGUAUGGGAAACCAUAAAUGGAAAUGAGAACUAAAAUGUAGAUGAGUUGGUUUGGUUGCUUUAAUCAAGUUUUUGGAAGAAGUUUAAACAAGGAGCAAUGAGUAUUCCACCUUGGAAACACUUGCCUGUGUUUAAACAGCUGUAGUUUUAUUUUCUCUCCUGCACUGGUCUUUCUGUUCAAGCAGCUCUUACUCUAUUGCUCUAAUACAGUCUUCUUUUCAGGCUACCAAACAAUCUUGUUUAUUGUUUCACAUCCAUGUGCUGUGUGAAAAAAAAAAAAAAAAAAAAAAAAGUGCUAUGACUCCUGAUAACUUUCUCAAAAGCUCCAGAUCCCAAGUGAAGCAGCCUCUUCUAAAAAAUCGCCCAUUUCUGCCGGCAAUAGCGUCUUCUAAGAUCCUGGGAGGGUGACAGCGCAGCACUAGUUGUUUGCGAGUGUUCCCCAGCUGCGGGAUGCAGCUGCCAGCCCCGGACCCUCCAGCCGCCCGGCAGCGCUGCGGAGCCAGUGAUGCAGAGUGGCCGGGGACUGCAGAGGGGCCGGGGAUGCAAAGGGACCGGGGACCCCGAGACCGCUGCCGCUGCGCAGUGCCCAGUGAGCCGCCAGGUGGCGAGACAGGGCUGUGCUGCCCCCGCGCUGCUGCUGCCCCCGCCCUGGUGCUGCCCAUGCCGGGUGCUGCCCGUGACCUGCCUACUCAGCUUUGCAGGAUGCAGCGCAACCCUCCACCCCUUUCUGUGGCAUAUUUUGCCUCUUGCUUUUCACAGUCAGAUUAACUUCAGCUCUGGUUUACAGGCACUGCCAGGCACAGCUUCCGGUUUCUCUAUUGGCUUGCGUGGCACUUCCACCCCAGAGAGUUAAUGGAGUCUAUUAACUCUCAAAUAGAAUUGCAUUGCUGCUGUAGGUAUGCACAGUCAGGUCAAGAAGAGGGAAAUUUUUAUAAUCUACCACCAGAUGUUAGUGAUGUUGUAUUUUCACUCAUAGCUACCUAGGGGAUAUACCUGUGAUGGUCCCUGAGAGAUAGGUACAUUACACAUGACAUCUGCAGACAUGACUCCUUUGAAACAUGGAGAAUGAGUCCAAGACGCCAGGGAAAGCACGAGGUCCUUACUGCAUUUUUACUACAGCUUUGUUUCCUCCAUAGGAACGAGGGUCUGAAAGGAUGUCUGCAACACCAUAAAACUAGUCAAUGUGGUUUUGUGUUUCCUUCUGGAAUUGUAGUUACUUCAGUGAAAAUGGUUUGUAGGCCAAAGACUGUAUAUCAAAAAUAAAAAUUAAGAAUAAUAGUUCGUGGCAUUGAAAGCCAAAUGCUGGGGUGACUGUUUACUUGACGCCACCAUGUAUUUUUAAGGGAAGUGAUAUUCCCCAAAAGUUUCAUUUUUUUGAAUGACUUUGUCAUUAUAUAAGGGAAAAGCCAUUACUAUCUAAGUCAAAAGACUUUCCAUAUGUCUAAACAGCACAUAAAGUCAGCCUGUAUAAUCUCCACAUCUCACUACCUCAGCCUAUUCAUUGGCAUAGACUGUGCUUCUGGACCUUUUUUCAUGGAGCGCAAAGAGUAACUUCCAUACAGAUCAGAAAGGUAAUCUGAACUCUUGAAUCUAUUCCAAUAUUAGAAUUUGGGCUGAUAUAUUCUCCGACUAUGGCUAGGCAUGGUGUUCUUCCAUCUAAAAUCAGUGCUUUCAGAUGUCACCUUGUUAGCUACAGGUUACCAGAAGAACAAGCAAAAGAUAGAUCAGAUGAGGCAGGAGAAAGGUUGGUACUGAGACAUCCUCCAAGAACUGCCAUGAGGAUUCAGGAAGACAGGAAAAGUAGACUUAAGAUACCUGAUUGUAUUUAAGAUUUCACAGACCCACCCAGAGCCACCUGGCAAAAGGUAUGUCUGUGGUGGUAACAGUCAGAUGUCUGAAAUCAACCCUAGCCCAAAAUCAAAUUUAAAUGUGAUCACCUGAUCUUUAGAUUUAGUCAUCUCAUCAGGCUACAAUCUGGGUCUUUUCCCAAGGCAGGCAGAGUUCAAUUAGGAUCAGGAAACACAAGCAGAAGUGAUUUAGGCUACAGUCCCUGCUAGGUAACUGCUGUUAUGAGCGGCUAUUAAUCUUCUUACUUGCCUGACUAAGGCAAGUUGCAGAUUAAGCAAUUCAAGCCAGCAGGAAGAGAUCAGCUGGAGUUAGAAAGUUAGGCUUUGUAGGGACUGCCCAGAUAUGUUUAGUACUUAAAGUGGCUUGUGUUAACUACAUGAUUCCAGGUCUAGGCUAUGCAAGAGCCAUCAGCUAAGGUAAAACAGUGGGGAUGAUAUCACAGUGUAUGUAUAUGUAAUUCUGUAUUACUGUUGAUAGGCUAAAUCCAACGUGGUCAGACCUGCUGAGGUGUGGGGAUGGACAGUGGUAGGGGACAGCAAGAAAUGAGGAUUACUUGCCCAAGCCAAACAUUCGCAGCAAGUGCUAUAACUAAGCACUUUAUUCAGACUUGAGUAAUUGUGUACAGUAUUAUAAUUGGUUUAGAAGGCUUCCUCUCGGUCUCACCUCAAUUUAGAGAAAGCUGAUAGGCUAAAGCAAUAACAGUAUUGGGAUUAAUAUUCGUGCUGGCAGAGAAAACAAGCAUUAAGAUUUACUUUUUUGAAGAGAAGAGUUUUCAAGAUCAGGUCUGUACUUAGUGAAGGUGAUAGGGAAGGGUAGGUGGCUAAGGUCAUCAAGAGGCAUUUAAAUAUAGGUCAUUGUGGUCGUGACUGGGGUUGAUUAAUAUAUGUUAAAGAGAAUGUCUUUAUAGGACACUUUGUAAAACUACAUGCUAGGGUACAGAUAGUGUCUGGAUCAGGUUUGUUAAUCUGGAUUGAGGUUGUCUGUCUAAAGAGAGAAUACGAAAUUAAAUCAAUAUUAAAAGAAAUAAGGUAAAAAAGCCAUGGGGACUGCCAGGAGCCACGGUUUUGUUAUAAGAUUAGGUUUCAAACCAUCAAGGACUGAUCUGCUGGUUUGGCAGCCAGAAUUUGGAUUAGCGGAAUUUGGUUUAGUAGCUGAAAAUAUCCCACAGGCUAAAUCAACAUUUUGGGUAUGUUUGGGUUCAGAGCAAAUGACACUGCUAGAUCCACGUGCAAAAUGGCAAACAGACCAGCUGAGGCUGGUAUACGGAUGAUCACGGGGGACAGGGACCAAUCAAGGACUGUGGUUCAGACUAACAGGCAAAAUUAGGUUGAUGCAGUCAUCGGGACAGACCUAUAGAUUAUGCUGGUUGAACUUGCUGGUUGGAUAGUGGCACAGAGCCACUGUGCUGAGGGUGAAAUGAGGCUGGAGGUGUACUGCAUGCUUACUACAGUUGGAACAGAUCUUCACUUCACACAAACCAAUGAACAUCUCUGACAGAGAAGAGUAUUUUGGUUGACCUCAAUGGACAUCGGUGUUUCACCUUAGUUUGUUUAUACUUAACACAGGUAUAAACUGAAAAUCUUUGGGUAAAAAUUGUGCGUAACCAAGUUGGGAAUGUGCUAGAGUUGAGGUCUGCUUUCCCUAUCGAGGCAGGAAAUAAAUCAGCCCAGGAAUUUUUUUACCCCUUGAUCCUUGUCCAUAAACAUUAAGUGAAGUUACUGUUAAAAGUUGACAACAGGAAGACUAUUGAUUCCACUGUGUUUGUUCCAUGUUAAAAAUUUUCCCAGUAGAACUGGGAGGGAUGGAAAGCAAUUCAAGCCACUUAAAAUAAUGAGCUAUUUCCUCUCCUUACAGCACUUAAAAUAAUUGUCUUGGGGGAGGGUGAGGAGUCAUUCCUGGCAAUAACUCAAUGGGUUCUCUUCAUUUUAUUCCUUUCAAAGAUAUCAAAGUUUAGAUGUACUAAAUGACUCUUCUACACCUGGCAGCUUUGAUAACACUGUUCACUUCCUAUAAUAAAUAGGAUCAGCCUUCAGCACUACUUUCAUUGACAUUUAUCUUGUGACACUGUUUUCUAUCAGUGCAAGGCUAGACACAGACCUUAUCAUGUUUGUGACAGGUCUUGAGCCUGUCUGCAUAGCUGCUACUGUAAUGAAUAAAUAUCUGCUCCCUUUAUUUAAUAAGCAGACUAGCUGACAUCAAGUGGUGUACAAAGGAAAAAAGGGGAGAGGUUGCACAAGGACUGUCUUUAAUAAAAUGUCAAAAGUGUACCUUUCAAUAGCAAGUUAAAAAGUAGGACAGCAAUCAUGACCUCCUUUACAUGCACCUACUGACCUCCUGUGCUCUUCCACUAUCUGCCUGGGGAGGAUGAGAAGCCUUGUGCUUUGAAUAAUGAAUGUGCUAUCAUUGCUAGGAGAGCCCAGAAGAUUUGUGCCAGGUCUGGCUUUGGAUUGCUAUCAUUUCCCUGGGAGACUCUUUAUUUGCAAAACUCAGAGCUGGUAGAAGAGAUAGUAAUAUUGUUUCAACAAGAGUACUGCUGUCUUGGUUCAGAAGACAGAACCCAUCUGCUAUGGUCAUGAAAUUUCUGAAGAAUGAAGGUUUGUCUUAGUAGCAAGCCAUACCAAUUAAUGCACAUUAUAAAGAUUCUGAGCUUGGAAGACCAAUAACAAACAUAGAGAUCUAUUGAACCACACUGCAUGGAGGCACUAUGGAGGAAGAGUUGAGUGGCAGAAGGAAGUAGUAUUGCAAAUGAGGAGAAGUAAUGAAAAGCAAAUCAACAACACCUAAAUUAUGGAGUGCAGAAGAUUUUACGUGGAUCUUUGUAUGAUGGAAAACAAUCCUAAAAGUAUUUAAACAGUCUUAAUAGUUGUCUCAGUGUCAAGUGACAUUCCCAUAGUUUCUCUGUGCUAGGAGUUUCACUGCUUGGAGCUGAAUAGUCCAUUCAUAUCAAAUGAACUGAAGAGUACCUUCCCUAGAGACUGGUUGAUGUAGGCUGGGAAUAAUAUGCCUUAGCUCCUGUUGAGACUGUGUAAGCUCUGGUGAUGUAGUUUUGUCCUUUAUUACUGUGAUUCUUUCUCUUUGAACUAUUUUUUACUUGAAUAUAUGACCAGCUUCUACUGUUUGAAAUGCAGUUAACCUGAAUUUUUUUAUUUUUCAAGUCUAGAAACGAGAGUAAUGUUGUUGAUAAAUAUAUCAUUAAGAACAAUCUCAUUUUCCACUUCUUAAUAUGACAAAUGUGUGGAAUACCUUACAUCUAUGCUGCUGGAACAAAAAAAAUAGCCAUGAGGAAUUUGUUCCUUGUGCUUUUGCUGGAACUGAAACUAUGCACCUUCACAUUAUUCAGUUUCAUGUGAUACAAAAGUUUCAGGAUCCUGAAUGUUUUCAUGGUGCCAGAGAGCAGUAAAACAUCACAACUGGAUUACAAAGCCACAAAGUCUUCUCUGUCCAGCCACGCUGAACAAAAAGAAAUUUGAAUGGCUUUGUAAGUGAUGUGUUCUUUAUGAAUCAACCUAAUAAAGAGACUCUUACACUACUUUUUGUUUAUUGGUUAGAUUGGCACAACUGCAUGUGCUCUUAUUGUGGCUCUUCUUUGCAUUAAUGAUCUUGUUUCCAAUGCUUUCUCUUUUCAUGUCUAGCUCCAGGCAGGAUUUAACUGUUUUGCUACUAUUUCCCAAGUAAAUAGACUUCAUUUCAAUAAUAUAUGAAAAGAUGCUUCCAUUCAGCUCUCUAAGGUGGUAAGUAGGAUGUGGUUUCCAUAGUCUAACCAGUAAGUUGGGCAUAACCGGCCUCUGCUUAAACCUAACUCUAUUUAGCUGCUUUGGCCUCUCUCAACAGUAUUAGAACCGUCAUGGUCCCAGGAGUGGUUUAAAGAGCAUAUGAGCUCCUUUUAGCAACUCUUGAAGCCCUGAGUAGGUUCAUAUUGUCUGCAGUUCAGUUCUGUGCCUAGCAGUAGUGGUAGUCUUUUCUUAAAAUACAGUCUUUCUUCACUUCUGUCCAUCUUGGACAAAUAUCUGCAAAUUAAUAUGCAAACACCUACCUUUGGUAAAAAUGGCUAGUUCUUAAGAAAAUUAGCUGGUUCAACUUCUCAGUGAUCAACUGUAACUAAGAGGCAUAACUUCAGCCAUUUAUUCUUAAUCCUUUCCAGAGUCAAACCAGAAAUCCUAAAGCCACAAAAUGUUUUUUAUUUCUAUAAAAUUAUUACAAACUCUAAACUGUUUCAUGGUAUUAAAACAAUGAGAUCCCCAAAUGUAUGGCUAUUUCUAAUGGCAAGGCUGAAACCUGGAAAAAUAUUGGCAUCAUUAAAGACAAUGCAAGCUGCAAACGGUAAUAUGAUGCGUCUUCUGGGCUGGCUGAGGAGAGUUAGUCAUGGCUCUGACACGACAUUUUGGCCUGCUGGGCACAGUCCACCUGCAGCAAUGUAUGGCCAGUUUAUGUGCUUUGAUGUCUAGUAAAAUGAUAGAUUUUCAUGCCAUCUACUGAAAUAAGAUAAGGGAAGCUUUGAGGUUUUUUUGUUCUUGUUUAACAGAGGAGAGGUAGAAGAGAUGUGAAUACUCAGACAAGAGGUAUAAGAAACAACCCAACACUUUUCACCAGGGAGAAGAAAAUGGGGGAAUGACUACAGGAAAACAAACAAACAAAGAAACCUACCUGACAAGUCCAUUUUUUGUUUGGAUAUGUGCCUUAAUUUUUCUUCUCAGAAAGUGUCGCUUCUCUUCUAGCAUCUUUUUACAUUCCAGCUACAGCAUGUUUAAUAUACCUACAAAGCUCAUAGACCUGACUUUAUCUAUGCUCAGCUGGCUUUCUCCACCCUGAACUCCCAAGUCCCUCCAUGAUAUACGUUCCCUCAUGCAACAUGUUCCCUUGAUGAGAAGCAGAGCUUUGGUCUAACCCCUUACAACCAGGUGCAGUGAGAAAGCACGUACACCAUUAAGCUGGUCACUGACUGCUGCGACUGACCCAGAUGUUAGGUUUUGGCAAGUCCAAAGGCAGAGUCAGAUGCCAGAUCUGAAAGCAGAAAACUACUCUCUCCUUCAUUGUUACUGAGGCCACAAUUCUGACCUUCAGGAAAUGAAAUUGUACCGUAUGCCACAAUAGAAAAAAUAAAAGGAAAAACAAACAGACAAAAAAGGGGCAAAAAACCCAACCCAACCAACAACAACAAAAACCAAACAAACAACAACAAAAAAACCACACCAAAACAAAAAAAACAAAACCCAAACAAAUAAAAAAACACCACAACACACAAAAAAUCCCACCACAAACAGACAGACAAAGAGACAUGGUAGUCAGGUGUAGAUUACUGACUGGGAGGCACUGAGUGGAAAGGAAGUGGGCAGACAGAAGACAAGAGUAGGAAAAUGUUAUUACAGGAAAAGUGAAGGAGAUUCUGAAGAAAACGACUGCUGGAGACUGAUCUAGCAAGGAUCUGGGUUUAAGCAAAGAGAGCUGGAAAAUGAAGGGCUUUACCAUCUUAUAUGAUGGUUCUUAAUGUUCAGGAGUAAUACUGGGGAAUACAACACCUGGUUGGGCUGUAAGUGGAAGACCAUAAAGAAGGAAAAAUGGGAUACUGUUGGACUGGGACUGGGACUUGAUUGGCAAAAGAAAAAUUAGAAUUCAGCAGUGAGCUCAUGACUAACAGAGCAAGAAGAGUAAGACUGAAAUGAGAAAGCUGAGAAGAGGGAAGGAACUGAGAGAUGUGGAUGAGAGACAUUAUAGUGAGUCAGGAAGCAAUCGAACAGGAAAAGGUAAGAUAUGGGUGAAAACAAAGCCUGUGAUCACAUAAUUAAAGGCAAUGUUGAGAGUAUACAGCAAGAUAGUUUGAGUUAAGCUGCCCAGAGUGAUAUAUAUUCUUGCAAUAUCUUGCAGACUUCUGAGUAUUUAAUUUAUGGGGCCACUACAGGAGUGGAUACAUACUGUUUGCAGGAAGAGGUAAUUUUGUUAGCAAGGAAAGAGGUAGAAGUGCUAACUCUUAACUGAAAACUCAUCGUGCCUAGUGACUGUGCUUUAAUUGCAGAGUUUAUAGCAGAAAAUAUACAUUUUCCCCAAAGACAUGCAGCAAGAUGUAAAGUCACUGAGUUCCAGUGGUUUGGAUGUUUUCAUCACAUGCUACAAAGGUCUACUAUUUUGUCUGCCAUGUUAGUCUUGAAGGUGGUAAGAGAAGCUUGAAGGAUUCAUUUGCAAGAGUAUGUUUAAUCCUAUGAUUUACCUUCCCAAGUCUUUACAGAGAAAUAUUUCUUAUAUACAUAGCAGGAAGAGAUGUAAUUACACUGUCAACCAUGAUACUUUAGAAAGAGAAGUUAAAUCAAAGCAGCUCUUCUUCACAAUAUUUUAAAGCCCAGGACAGCACAUGGCCAAGACUUCACUCAGUAAGGCUGCGUUUGAGUACGUGAUGUUGCUGACACACCUCUGACAUGGAGGGAAUUGUGAAAAAAACUGAACAGGUAGAAGGGUAGCGUGAUCGUACGUGCUCAGGUCAAGUUCUCCAAUACCUAUUCUGUUUUGUUUCUUUUGGGUUUUAGAGUAAGCAGCAAACAAAAAUGUGCAUGGUUUCUGAGACUACCCUACUGUACUGCCAGCCAACUCAAAUGUUCAUCUUCUUUGCAAGUUGCUAAGGAAAUGCCUGAUAAAUCUGGUGAUUUCCUUGCUUCAGUAUAGCUUGCUGGAAAGACUGAAAGUUGUAGACAUAAAAACUAAACAAAAACUGUUGCUAUAUGCAAGAGUAUUUUGGGCACUUGUGUGGGAUACAGUUGAUGCUUUCAUGAGUAUGUAUACAUGAGGAUUAUGUGAGGAAAGACCUUGGUGCUCUGGGUCUCACAAAGGUAGCUGAGUUUUCCGUAGCAUGGAUACUUCUUCCCUUUGUGGACAGAGACAGACAAAUCAGAUUAUGUUUCAGAAGCAAAGCACCAGAAACUGACAUAGUCAUGACCUCUGACAAUAUUAAGAUACUUUAUUAUUCCACAAACAGAUAAGCAAGAACUAUCAGAAUAAAGCUUCUCUGAAAUUUUUCUUUCUUAUGAAAGAUUUAUUAUGUCCUAAGGUUUUACUAUGCAAUUUGAAAAGUUUAUAACUGAGAGGACAAUUUUAAUUUACUCUACAGAUAGGAAUUUGAUGCAUAAAGACAUGAAAUUAUUUUUCUGAAGGUCUCAGAACACCUGAACGAUGAACUAAUGUCUCCUGAAUACUAUUUCAGUAUUAUUUGACUGUGUGCUACACUCACACACCCAGCUUUUUCACUGGGAUUUUUUUUCCCCUCUUCAGGACAAGUGAUCCUCAGGUGACGUUUUUACACCAGUAUGUCACAGACUAAAAAUUGUCCCCACAGAUUUUCCCUAGCUCAUGUGUGAGAUAUCUUUCAUCUGAUCCACUGUGGACACUGGAUGCUGUUUUCUCAAGUCAGCAUACAGGCUGCGAUUUUUAACAGAAUAUAACUACUGGUGCUUGUAUGUAUGUCCAAGUCUGCCCAUAGUAAAAAUGAAAAUGGUUCCUGCAAAGUCAUGGUGUUUGGAAAUAGUGUUGCAAUAAAAUAAUAACAUUCAAUUUCACAGCAAAAAACAUCCCUAUACUCAAGGACAGAGGAUUACGAUGGAUGGUCAUAAGCUGUUUCAUAAGGACAGGCAGCAAAGAAGAGGAGGAGAAGUUGAACACAUAUAGGUUAACUACACUGAUUGUGGAAGUCCUAUCAAAUGCUGCUGGGUCAAGAUCAGAGGGGUUGUCUCCAAGGGGGAUCUUAUAGUGGGCAUCUGCUAUUGACCUCCAGACCAAGGUGAUAGGGCAAACAAAGCAAUAUUUGGGUCACUUAAGCAAGGUUCGUGUCAACAGAACAUCAUUCUUAUGGGUGACCUCAACUACCCAGAGAUUUAUUGGAAGAACAAUACAGCAGCUCACGUGUCAUCCAUUAAGUUUCUGGAAUGCACAGAGGACUACUUCCUCAUGCAAAUGUUAGAUGUGCCAACCAGGAAUGAGGCACUGCUGGACUUUCUACUCACAAACCAGGAAAAUCUGUUUUGUAAUAUCUUGGUUAGUGGUAGUUUUGACUGCAAUGAUCAUGCUCAGAGCUCAGUAGGGAGGAAUUCCAUGGGAAGGUUCCAUGGAGGAUAAAGCAGCUAACAAAUGCUGGAAGUUUUUCAAGAAUGCUCUCCUGUAAGCACAGAAACAGUCUAUCCCCUUUAAAGGUAAGGUAAGCAGGUGGAGCAAGAGACUCCCUUGGCUUAACUGCAAACUUCUGAGUCUGCUCAAAACGAAAAGUGUACCAGAGAUGGCAAGGUGGAUAAAUACCCAUCGAGAACUACAAGCACAUUGCAAGGGUGUGCAGAAAUGCGGUUAGAAAACCAAAAGUUCAGCUCAAAUUGAAAUUGGCCAGAUAUGUCAAGAACUACAAGAAAUAGUUCUUCAGAUAUGUAAAAAACAAGCAGAAACAAAAGGAAAAUGUUGGCCCAGUGUUAAACAGGAGAGAUGAAGUAGUCCCCCAAGUGUGCUGCAAAGGCACAAACUCGGAACACUUUCUUCACCUCUGUUUUUAUCAGCACUGUUGGGUCCUAGGCCUUGAAAGCAGAAAUCCAGGUUGAUGCAAACACAGACCCACCAUCAGUGAAGGAAGAGCUGUUAUAUUAACUACUAUAGGAGCUUGACCCCUACAAAUCCAAGGGCCCUGAUAUUAUCCACUGAAAGGUGUUAAGAGAACUGGCUGAUGUCAUUGCAAGGCUGCUCUCUAUAAUGUUUGAGAAAUGUGGACAUCACAGAGGACUGGAAGAAGUCCAGUGUCACUCCCACCUACAAGAAGGGAUUAAAGAAGGAUCCAGUAAAUUAUAGGCCCAUCAGUCUUACUUCAGCCCCUGGGAAGGUUAUGGAAUGAAUGCCCCCCCUCCUGGGGGCUGUCACAAGUCAUAUGAAACAUGUGAUUGGGAAAAGCCAGCACAGAUUCACCAAAGGCAAGUCAUGUUCAACAAACCUGAUCACAUUCUAUGACAAAGUAAUCUGCUCGGUUGAUGUGGGGUGAGCAGUGGACUUUAUCUCCUUGGCUUUCUCCAAGGCUUUCGAUACAGUUUCUCACAGCCUCUUCCUAGGGACACUAACACAUUACAGUCUAGACAAAUGGUUUCUGCGGUGGGUGAGGAACUGGCUGACAGACCAUACCCAGGGGGUGGUGGUAAAUGGCAACUUGUUUUCAAAUGCCAUUUUCAAACUGGCAACUUGCCACGAGUGGGGUUCCCCAGAGAACAAUAUUAGGCCCAAUGCUGUUUAACUUCUUCAUAAGUGAUCUGGAUGAUGGCAUCAAGUGUACCCUGAUGGAGUUUGCCGAAGACACCAAACUGAGUAGGGAAGCAGACACUUCAGAGAGGAGAGCCACCCUGCAGGAUGGCCUGGAUAGGCUGGAAGAGUGGGCUAGCAAGAACCUUAUGAAGUCCAAUAAGGACAAGUGUAAGGUCUUCCACCUGGGAAAACAUAAUCCAGGAGUGCAGCACAGGCUGGGAUCUACCAAACUGGGGAGCAGGGUUUGUGGAAAGGGACCUGGAGGUCCUGGUGGACAAUAAGCUCAAUACAAGAGAAUAGUGUGCUGCUGCAGUGAAGAAAGCCAACAAGAUGCUGGGCUGCAUCAACAAGGGCAUCACCAGCAGAGAUAAAGAAGUCAUUAUCACGCUCUACUCACUGCUUGUCAGGCCACACGUGGAAUACUGUGUUCAGUUUUGGUCCAUGAUAUGCAAAAAAAGAUGUGGACAGUCUGUAGAUGGUCCAGUGAAGGAACACAAAGAUGAUUAAAGGACUUGGAAGCCUGUCAUAGGAGGAAAGGCUGAGAGAACAGGGCUUCUCAGCCUUGAGAAAAGAAGGCUUAGAGGAGGCCUCAUCACUAUGUUCCAGUAUUUAAAGGGUGGCUAUGAAGAAGAUGCAGAUUCUGUUUUUACAAGUAGUCACAUGGAAAAGAGGAGGGCUAAUGGCUACAAGUUACCCCUGGGGAGAUUCCAGUUGGAUACAAGAGGGAAAUUUUUCACAACGAGGACAAUCAGCCAUUGAAAUAAUCUCCCCAGGAAAAUGGUGGAUUUCCCAGCAACAGACUCGUUGAGGAUUCAGCUGGACAAGAUGCUGGGUCAUCUUGUACAGACGGUGCUUUUGCCCAGAAAGGUUGGACCAGUUGAUCCUUGAGGGCCAAUCCAACCUGGUAUUCUAUGAUUCUGUGAUUCUAUGAUUCCACAAUCUAGAAAUUCUCCCAAGCAAGUCUUGUAUUUCCUCCUGUAACAUGUCAAAACAGCAAAAGAUGAGCAUGAUUCAUACUAUAUUGUUAUUCUGCCGCUUCCUUAUGUGGCAUAUCUGACUGCUUCUAGAAGUUUAGUUUGCUUUCUGCUGUAGAUGUGAUGUAAGCUAAUGCUUGGGCCUGAUGUGAGGGGUUUGCACAACUCUAGAGGAAACUGGAUGGUUGGAGGGUUUUUGUCUCAGAGAAAAAGGCUUCAAUCUAGACUGUUGCAUUAACUAGACUUGUUUUGUUUAUUUUAUUUCUAAAACUCAUACACAUUAUGAAGGUCACAGCAGCUAAAGGAUUCUUCUGUUGGUGUAAUGGGAACACAGCUCGUUGAAACAGUUUGUAAACCAGCGGCUCACAAACAUCAGGCUAGAAACCAGUUACCUAGUUAAACUGCAUGACCAGAGUUCAUAAAGUCAAGUUGACAAUGAGAUCCUUGGAAAAUGCAGAUGGGCCCUGGGACCCCUGAACCUCUGUGCUGGAAGACUAUGACUGGAGGAAUUAUAAACUCCCAGCUGCCUCUGGACUUGUUCAAGACUUAAUGCUCCAGUCUUGGCAGUCUGAAGAGGUCCCAGAUGACUGGAAGCUGGCAAAUGUUGUCCCAAUUUUCAAGAAGCAUAAGAGGGAAGACUCUGGUAAUUACAGGCCUGUCAGUCUCACUUCAGUGCCUUGUAAAAUUAUGGAAAUGAUUAUUCUGGAAGUUAUUGAAAAACACUGGCUAGCACAGGUUCAUGAGUGGGAAGUCCUACUUAACUAACUUAAUUUCCUUCUUUGACAAGGUCACCCAUCUAGUUGCCUAAGGAAAGUGAGUGGAACUGCUUUUUUUCUUCAUUUUAGCAAAGCUUUUGAUACUGUCUCUCGGAGUAUCCUUCUGGACAAAAUGUCCAGCAUACACCUAGACAAGUUCAUAAUACAUUGGGCGAGCAACUGGCUGUUGGGCUGGUCUCAAAGAGUUACCAUAAAUGGGGUGUCAUGGUUUAACCUGAACUAUCAAUAUAAUCAUAAUAGUCACACACUCCCCCACCUCCCACUCCCGACUAGGGAGAGAAUCGAAAGGGAAGGGAGAAACUCGUGUGUUGAGAUAAACACAGCUUAAUAACAUAACAAAAUAACACUAACAUACUACCACUAAUAUAUAUAAAACAUAAUAUAAAAUAAAAGAUACUCAUUGCAAUUCCUCACAAACUCUGUCUGCACCAAGCAGCCAGUUCGCACCUGGUCCUGAACAGGCGAUUCUGGAGAGAGAAGAGAGAAAAAGGCAGAAAGGCCCAGAGGCCUUUGCAAAAUGGCAGGAAGAAACUCACAAACAGCACUCCACUGAAACAGAGCAGAACCAGAACAGGUUUCCACCCCUUGACUCCAUCCCAUCUACUAGCUGGAAGAUCCUAACUCUCCUUAAAUAUGAAGUAUGACUCUAAUGGAUGGAAUAUUCUUAUUGAUCAGUCUGGACAGCAGUCAAGGUCUGCCCCACCUAUGCCCCUCUUCUUAGCUGCCUCACACCUGUGGGCAGAGAGCACUGAAAGUCCUUGGCUCCCAGACAACAACAAUUAAAAACUUUAACUCUGUCCCGAGAUGUUAUCUUCUUGUUCUCAAACUAAAUCCAAACAAUGACUGUGCUAGCUACAAAAAGUUUCUAUCUGCAUGAAAAAAAUUAACUCACUUUCAGACAAACCAACACAUGGGGUUACAUAAGGCUGGUGGUCAGUCACUAGUGGGGUUCCCCAGGACUCAGUUUUAGGGACAGUGCUCUUUAAUGUUUUUAUCGAUUAUCUGAACACAGGAAUCAAAUGUACAUUAAGCAAGUCUUGCAAUGAUAGUACACUACGAGGAAGUAUGGUCUCGCUUUAGAAUAGGGAGGCCUUAAAGAGAGACCUGGGUAGACUGGACAGCUGGGCAACCACCAGCCAUAUGAAAUUUAACAAGAGAAGUGCUGAAUUCUUCACCUGUAAUGGGGUAAUCCUCGUUAUACAUACAAACUGAGAGAUGAGAGUCUGGAGUGCAGCCCCACAGAAAGAGACCUGGGUGGUUGGGUUGACAGCAAGUUGAACAUGAGCCAACGGUAUGCCCUGGCAACCAAAGGGGCCAACAGUGUCCUGGGGUGCAUCAAGCACAACAUCACUGGUCAGUCAAGGGAGAUCAUUGUCUCACUCUACACUGCACUGGUGUGGCCUCACUUUGAGUACUGUGUGUGGUUCUAGGCAAUUCAAUAUAAGAAGGAUCUCAAACUCUUCCAGUAUGUCCAGAGAAGGGAGACCAAGGUGUUGAAAGGCUUUAAGAGCAAGACUUACGAGGAGUGGCUGAGGUCACUUGCUUUGUUCAGUUUGCACAAGAGAAUGCUGAGGGGUGACCUCAUCCCGGUCAACAACUUCCUUACAGGGGGCAGCAGAUGGCAGGUGCUGAUCUCAUAUCUCUGGUGACUAGUGGACAAGACACAAGGAAACUGAAUGAAACCUCAUCAGGGGAAGUUCAGACUGGACAUUAGGAAAAGGAUCUUCACUGAGAAAGUGGUCAGUCACUAGGGAAGUGGACACAGCACCAAGCCUGUCAAAGCUCAAGAAGCAUCUAGACGAUGCACUAACAACUGUUUAGUUUUAGGUAGUCCUGUGAGGACCAGGAAUUCAGACUCGAUGAUCCUCAGGGGCUCCUUCCAACUUGAGAUACUCUAUGAAUCUACAAUAGAGGAUCUGUACCACAGGACAAAAACACAACUUCAGGACUUUGGUGUACAUGUUUCUGUUUAUUUAAAGAGAAACCUAUGUCCUUGAAAUACAGAUUAGUCUUCCAAGUCUGGUAACCCUGGAGAUUUAACAGAGUGACUUUAGCAUAGACAUAUAUUUUCACCUUUGUAAUUCAAGAAUAAACCCACUGACUUGUAUGCUGUUAUACUGAUG